UUAUUGAUUGUUAUUUCCAUCCUUUAUUUUCUGAUAAGAAUGCAUUUAGCUUCCGAGGUGAAGCGGCCAUCUGCCCCGAUUGUGUGUUUCUGAUUCAUUUAGCGAGACUAGCGCGGAUGUGUCUCCAGCUUUCAAAUGAGGCAUUUGCUGGUCGCUUUGCGUAUUUUUGAAUAUGUUCUGGCCUCGGACAUCCCAAGGUUACUGAUAAAAGCAGCGUAAACAUUGGUUCUAUCAACUCAAACACGGGGAAGAACCAGCUUGGUUGAAACUUUUAAAAUUAGAAACACCAUUAUAACUUGCAGCCAAUUUGACUGUGGAUUUACUUGCGAUGGGAAUGUCCAACUUCUAUACAUUUUGUUGC